rnacentral:rRNA from 1 species
AUUGAACGCUGGCGGCAGGCCUAACACAUGCAAGUCGAGCGGAUGAGUGGAGCUUGCUCCAUGAUUCAGCGGCGGACGGGUGAGUAAUGCCUAGGAAUCUGCCUGGUAGUGGGGGACGACGUUUCGAAAGGAACGCUAAUACCGCAUACGACCUACGGGAGAAAGCAGGGGACCUUCGGGCCUUGCGCUAUCAGAUGAGCCUAGGUCGGAUUAGCUAGUUGGUGAGGUAAAGGCUCACCAAGGCGACGAUCCGUAACUGGUCUGAGAGGAUGAGCAGUCACACUGGAACUGAGACACGGUCCAGACUCCUACGGGAGGCAGCAGUGGGGAAUAUUGGACAAUGGGCGAAAGCCUGAUCCAGCCAUGCCGCGUGUGUGAAGAAGGUCUUCGGAUUGUAAAGCACUUUAAGUUGGGAAGAAGGGCAGUAAGUUAAUACCUUGCUGUUUUGACGUUACCGACAGAAUAAGCACCGGCUAACUUCGUGCCAGCAGCCGCCGUAAAAC